GAUGAACGCUGGCGGCGUGCCUAAUACAUGCAAGUCGAGCGAACGGACGAGAAGCUUGCUUCUCUGAUGUUAGCGGCGGACGGGUGAGUUACACGUGGAUAACCAACCUAUAAGACUGGGAUAACUUCGGGAAACCGGAGCUAAUACCGGAUAAUAUUUUGAACCGCAUGGUUCAAAAGUAAAAGACGGUCUUGCUGUCACUUAUAGAUGGAUCCGCGCUGCAUUAGCUAGUUGGUAAGGUAACUGCUUACCAAGGCAACGAUGCAUAGCCGACCUGAGAGGGUGAUCGGCCACACUGGAACUGAGACACGGUCCAGACUCCUACGGGAGGCAGCAGUAGGGAAUCUUCCGCAAUGGGCGAAAGCCUGACGGAGCAACGCCGCGUGAGUGAUGAAGGUCUUCGGAUCGUAAAACUCUGUUAUUAGGGAAGAACAUAUGUGUAAGUAACUGUGCACAUCUUGACGGUACCUAAUCAGAAAGCCACGGCUAACUACGUG
rnacentral:rRNA from 1 species